rnacentral:rRNA from 1 species
GACGAACGCUGGCGGCGUGCCUAAUACAUGCAAGUCGAACGCAGUGGGGACGGGUGAGUAACACGUGGGUAACCUCCCAUCAGAGGGGAUAACAGUUGGAAACAGCUGCUAAACCGAUACUGAUUGAUGGAGCCGGGGUGCAUUAGCUAGUCGGUGGGGUAACGGCUCACCAAGGCGACGAUGCAUAGCCGACCGGAGAGGGGGACCGGCCACACGGGGACUGAGACACGGCCCAGACUCCUACGGGAGGCAGCAGUGGGGAAUCUUCGGCAAUGGGCGAAAGUCUGACCGAGCAAUGCCGCGUGAGUGAAGAAGGUUUUCGGGUGGUAAAGCACUGUUGUUGGAGAGGCGGUAUCUAACCAGGAAGCCACGGCUAACUACGUGCCAGCCGCCGCGGUAAUUC